UCGCUUUGGCAGCAAGUAUACUAAAAUUGGAAUGAUGCAGAGAAGAUUAGGUUGGCCCCUGUACAAGGAUGAAACGCAAAUUCGAGAAGCCUUCUAUAUUUUU